AGUAAUCAACGCUGGCGGCGUGCCUAACACAUGCAAGUCGAACGAGAAAGUGGAGCAAUCCAUGAGUAAAGUGGCGCACGGGUGAGCAACACGUGACUAACCUACCCUUGAGUGGGGGAUAACCUAGAGAAAUCUGGGCUAAUACCGCAUAAUACCUUCGGGUCAAAGGAGCAAUUCGCUUAAGGAGGGGGUCGCGGCCGAUUAGUUAGUUGGCGGGGUAAUGGCCCACAAGACUAUGAUCGGUA
rnacentral:rRNA from 1 species